GGUAGCGUGGCCGAGCGGUGUAAGGCGCAGAUUUAAGGAACCUGUCUCUCCAGAGGCGUGUGUUCGAAUCCCACCGCUGCCA